GGCAAGCAAGGUGGGGGAGCACCCGCCGUUUUGUUCUGCAGGUUCGACGUAUGUGGACCCACAGCAAACAGAGCAAGCACGUGGCACAUGGAGUGACAGAUGUAGGUGCACCGGUCACUAAUCUACGCCAGCUAGCCAUAUGGACAGCAUAUGAUGGGACCACAGCUUCCAUUAAAUAUUGCACUGCGGGACAUCCUCCACCCAUCCCCC
rnacentral:lncRNA from 1 species